rnacentral:tRNA from 1 species
GCUUAGUUAGCUCAGUUGGCAGAGCAAUCGGCUGUUAACCGAUCGGUCGUAGGUUCGAGCCCUACACUAAGCG